AUAAUAAGAAAGUCAUUUAAAGAAAACUAAAAGGAAAUAAGGAGUAGCUCAAGGCCAUAGUAGGUCAGAAGUACCAAGUGUUAUCUUCUGCACGUGUUCAUAAUAAAAUAAUUCUGCCAAUGAUUGACCCAAAAUUCCUGACAUCAAGACGCUAUAUAAGGCUGGACCUAAGACAGAAACAUCAGUAAACUGGACACUAUGAGAUCUAAGAUGACAAUGCUUUUUCCAUUGUUGCUGCUGACCUUCCUGUCAACAGUCAGGCUUGAAACAGAGUCUGACAAUGAAAUUAUUCCACAGUUAACGGAAACUGGAUCCCAGGAGAGAGGACAAGCAAAUGCUUCUGAUCAACAACACAACUGUGUUACUGACGUCAAUUCUGUGCUGAGAGAGAUGAGUGCCUUGUUGGGUGCACUGAAGGUUGAAGUCAGACACUUGCGAGAAGACAAUGAAGCACAAGCAGCUAAGGUGAGAGAACUGGAGUUGCAAAAGACUGAGCUGGACAAGCUGAAGGAACAAUAUCAAGCACAAGCAGCUAAGGUGAAAGAAUUGGAGUUGCUAAGGGCAGAAAUGGAUAAGCUGAAGCAAGACAGCCAAGCACAGGGAGGAGAGCUGAUCACCAUUAAAAGUAGGGCAAACAUCACAGAAAACCAGGUGGAGGCCCUGAAGAGAGAAGCAGAAGUCAAACGUGUGGCUUUCUCAGCCUCUCUGUUAGGCACAGGCUCACAAAAUAUUGGACCAUUUAACACACACAUGCCUCUGGUCUUCAAAUAUGUUGUUUCCAAUAUUGGAAAUGCCUAUAAUUCGCACACAGGUUCCUUCACUGCACCAGUAAGAGGAGCAUACCACUUUGAAUUCUACGUAUUUGGACAUCAUUCACAUCCUUCAGGGGCUGUGUUGGUCAAGAAUGGAGAGCACAUCUUUAUUGCAUACGAACAUUCGACCAGUCCUCAUUCAGUCAGUUCUUCUAAUGGUGUCACAUUGCUAUUAGAGGUCGGAGAUGUGGUGUUUUUGCGACUGUGGAUUAACGCUUGGAUUUUUGACGGUGGAAACCGGCACAGCACCUUCAGUGGACAUCUGCUUUUCCCCAUGUGAGAAGAAAAACAGCCUAAGAUACCAGUGCAAGCACACUCUACCAGUGUAUUAGUUACUCUGCAUUUUUACUAGAUAUGAAGCCACAAGUAUGAAUAUGUGAACUAUGUAAACUAUAAUCAUGUUUUCUUACUUUGUUUAGCCUUUUAUUUAAGAGUUGGCAAAUUUCAUUUUUGAAAAAGAGAGUUUGGGUUAAAUGUUUUCUUUUGCUUCUUCUUCUACUUUUUUAAAAAAGUUGAAUAGUAUCAGACCCAGAACUUAAACACAAAUUUAGUUUGUUACGCACAUGUAAAUACCUUGUGAUUUAUAAAACCAUGUUAAUAUAGCACGAUCUAUUUCCUUAGAAAGCAAAGACAGAAAGAAAGCUGUGCAUUACUGGAACUGUAACUGUUUUAAACCCUUGCUUGUCAAUUUACAGUCAAUUAAACAAAUAGCUAACUUUAGUUUUUAAAUUCCAUGAAAAACUCCUGCGAUGUCCCACAGAGUUUACACCUUUGGCUUACACCUGGAUUUCUUACAUCAACACCUGGCUGCCAUUAAGUAUGGCUUCUGUUUUACACCUGCACUACUACACCUCAGCACAGACUUCAUCCAACACAUACGUUCCCACCAUUUGAUUGGAAAUAUGGACAAGCUGUAACUAAUGCAUCACAAA